rnacentral:pre_miRNA from 1 species
AAUAAGUACAGUUUUACACUAUUCACGUUCAACGUUUAACCGUUCGUCUUAUUUGAAAUUUUUUUAGAUUAAUAUUUUUAUUGCUAUUAAAUGAUAAAACAUGAAUAAUACUUUAUGUGUGACUAAAUAUUUUUAAAUUUUUUAAAUAAGAUGGACGAUCAAACAUUGGGCAUGAAUAUCCACGGCUGUACUUAUU